GAACGGGACCGGGGGCAACUCCGGUUCAGUGGCAGAUGGGUGCGUAACACGUGAGGAACUUGUCCGUCGGCGGGGGAUAGCCGGCCCAACGGCCGGGUAAUACCGCAUACGCUCGUUCGGGGGCAUCCCUGGGCGAGGAAGGCAGCCGCAAGGUUGCGCCGGUGGAGAGUCUCGCGGCCUAUCAGCUUGUUGGCGGGGUAACGGCCCACCAAGGCGACGACGGGUAGCUGGUCUGAGAGGAUGGCCAGCCACAUUGGGACUGAGACACGGCCCAGACUCCUACGGGAGGCAGCAGUGGGGAAUAUUGCGCAAUGGCCGCAAGGCUGACGCAGCGACGCCGCGUGUGGGAUGACGGCCCUCGGGUUGUAAACCACUGUCAGGGGGGACGAAUACUCGGCCGCGAAUAGCGGACCGAGGGUGACGGUACCUCCAAAGGAAGCACCGGCUAACUCCGUG
rnacentral:rRNA from 1 species